AAUGAACGCUGGCGGCAUGCCUUACACAUGCAAGUCGAACGGCAGCAUGACCUAGCUUGCUAGGUUGAUGGCGAGUGGCGCACGGGUGAGUAAUGCAUCGGAACGUGCCUUUUAGUGGGGGAUAACGUAGCGAAAGUUACGCUAAUACCGCAUAUUCUCUGAUGAGGAAAGCAGGGGACCUUCGGGCCUUGCGCUAGAAGAGCGGCCGAUGUCGGAUUAGCUAGUUGGUGAGGUAAAGGCUCACCAAGGCAACGAGCCGUAGCGGGUCUGAGAGGAUGAUACGCCACAUUGGGACUGGGGCACGCCCCAGACUCCUACGGGAGGCAGCAGUGGGGAAUUUUGGACAAUGGGCGCAAGCAUGAUCCAGCCAUGCCGCGUGAGUGAAGAAGGCCUUCGGGUUGUAAAGCUCUUUCGGCUGGGAAGAAAUCGCACCCUCUAAUACAGGGUGUGGAUGACGGUACCAGCAGAAGAAGCACCGGCUAACUACGUG
rnacentral:rRNA from 1 species